GCUACCUAUAAAUUUAUCUUUUUUAUUUCCAUCAAAAAUUAAUAUCUAUCCAACCUUUACAAACUUAAUGAGUAGCCCAUAAGUAGUUUUAGACACUUAUCUGUUCAGCACAUUACCCUAAUUGAACAGCUAUACUGGCAUUUUUUAGGAUUUAACAUUUACAAUGAAGUUUGCAGCUGUAAUAAUUAUUUUAGUAGUCAUCGCCUCCUCAUCUCACCAAAAGCCAACGAAGCCUCCUACUAAUACGGCAGUCCUAAGCGAGUUUAGAGCAAAGCUGCAACAGAGUAUUUUUGAGAUGUUAGACGAUUUGAUUAAAAAAGGAGAAAAGCAUACAACAAUGGAGGUUGGGGAGAAGAAUCAUCAAGUUGUUAGAAAGGUUAUACAUAGCCAAACACGCUACAAAGAUAUUACAUUUGACGAGUUUGACAAGAUUGGUCAACUAAUAGGAGAAACGCCCGAAUACAAAGCUAAGGUGAAAAGCCUUUUGAAACCUGACGAAAAUGGUGUCGCUCCUAGAUGUCUCCCUCCUAUUCUCAUGUCCUGAACGGUCAAAAAAUCAAGUAUAAAAGCAGAUGGCUGAACAACUUUACAAAUUAUGUUGUCAAAGGAAGCUCAUUAAAAUAAAGUGUUAUUAUGAAUUUGUAUAAAGAU